ACCCCCCUGGCUGUGGCUGUGACCCAGGAUGUCUGCUCAGCACAGAGCGGGCAGGCAGAGGGUUCCCUGGGCCAUCGGGUCCUUGCAGAGGGCACUGAAACUGGUGCCCGGGGAAUGCCUUCCAGUUGCUUACCAAUUCUGCUCCUUUGAGGUCAGCCCCUCAUAGUUACCACGCAUGUCUGGGCUGAGGCCCCUAAACCCGCGUUGUUGCUGACCGUGACAUGUGAU